rnacentral:rRNA from 1 species
GACGAACGCUGGCGGCGUGCCUAAUACAUGCAAGUAGAACGCUGAAGGAGGAGCUUGCUCUUCUGGAUGAGUUGCGAACGGGUGAGUAACGCGUAGGUAACCUGCCUGGUAGCGGGGGAUAACUAUUGGAAACGAUAGCUAAUACCGCAUAAGAGUAGAUGUUGCAUGACAUUUACUUAAAAGUUGCAAUUGCCUCACUACCAGAUGGCCCUGCGUUGUAUUAGCUAGUUGGUGGGGUAACGGCUUACCAAGGCGACGAUACAUAGCCGACCUGAGAGGGGGAUCGGCCACACUGGGACUGAGACACGGCCCAGACUCCUACGGGAGGCAGCAGUAGGGAAUCUUCGGCAAUGGACGGAAGUCUGACCGAGCAACGCCGCGUGAGUGAAGGAGGUUUUCGGAUCGUAAAGCUCUGUUGUAAGAGAAGAACGAGUGUGAGAGUGGAAAGUUCACACUGUGACGGUAGCUUACCAGAAAGGGACGGCUAACUACGUG